rnacentral:rRNA from 1 species
UGGGGAAUUGUUCGCAAUGGGCGCAAGCCUGACGACGCAACGCCGCGUGGAGGAUGAAGGUCUUCGGAUUGUAAACUCCUGUUGAUCGGGACGAAUGGGCUUCGGGUCAAUAUCCCGGAGCAGUGACGGUACCGAUUGAGGAAGCCACGGCUAACUCUGUGCCAGCAGCCGCGGUAAUACAGAGGUGGCAAGCGUUGUUCGGAAUUACUGGGCGUAAAGGGCGCGUAGGUGGCCUUCUUAGUCAGACGUGAAAUCCCCGGGCUUAACUCGGGAACUGCGUCUGAUACUGGAAGGCUCGAGUUCGGGAGAGGAAUGUGGAAUUCCAGGUGUAGCGGUGAAAUGCGUAGAUAUCUGGAGGAACACCGGUGGCGAAGGCGGCAUUCUGGACCGAAACUGACGCUGAGGCGCGAAAGCCAGGGGAGCAAACGG